UACGAAGGGGGCUAGCGUUGCUCGGAAUUACUGGGCGUAAAGGGCGCGUAGGCGGCACUGUUAGUCAGGCGUGAAAGUCCUGGGCUCAACCUGGGAACUGCGCUUGAUACGGCAGAGCUAGAGGAUGGAAGAGGCUCGCGGAAUUCCCAGUGUAGAGGUGAAAUUCGUAGAUAUUGGGAAGAACACCGGUGGCGAAGGCGGCGAGCUGGUCCAUUACUG
rnacentral:rRNA from 1 species